rnacentral:rRNA from 1 species
AGAGUUUGAUCAUGGCUCGAGGACGAACGCUGGCGGCGUGCCUAACACAUGCAAGUCGAACGAGGUCCAUCCUUCGGGAGAAGACCUAGUGGCGAACGGGUGAGUAACACGUGAAGAACCUGCCCCGAAGACCGGGAUAACCCUCCGAAAGGAGAGCUAAUACCGGAUACCCCCACCGAACCGCAUGGUUUGGUGAGGAAAUGGAUUCCGCUUCGGGAGGGCUUCGCGGCCUAUCAGCUAGUUGGUGGGGUAACGGCCCACCAAGGCAUCGACGGGUAGCUGGUCUGAGAGGACGAUCAGCCACACUGGGACUGAGACACGGCCCAGACUCCUACGGGAGGCAGCAGUGGGGAAUCUUGCGCAAUGGGCGAAAGCCUGACGCAGCAACGCCGCGUGGGGGAUGAAGGCUCUCGGGUUGUAAACCCCUUUCAGCAGGGACGGAAUCAAGACGGUACCUGCAGAAGAAGCCCCGGCUAACUACGUG